GAGGGAGGCCUGGCUAAGGCCUAUUCACGUGUGGUUCCUUCUUCCUGAGAUAAGGAAUGCCCCAGAGAGGUUGCAGAAUGGAGGCCCCACCUAAGUCUCACCAGCAACGCACUCUAGCCUUGCUCCUGCACAGCAGUCAGGGCAGAACUGCACACAUGUGGCAUGGAAUGACUAGCUACUCAUGGCAACCCUGGACAUAAAGCCAAAUGCCUGCAAAACACGGAGUCCAGAGCAGUUAGUUACCUGCCCCGCCCUGCACUCUGUAGCUGGGAGAUCCCAGAGCCGCCCAACCAGAUAAAGGCUUGCUGGCCUGCUGGGGAAGCCUGGGAAAUCACAGGGGAAGAAGGGCUACUCUCUGCAAGCCAGGGCACCAGGGCAGCAGACUGCGAGGUGGGGAAGCAAUCUGGCUCAAAUAAACAAACCAGGAAAUGAGUGUCACCU
rnacentral:lncRNA from 1 species